rnacentral:ncRNA from 1 species
CGGGGAGUAUCUAUAUUUAUAGAACUUCACCUAUAGUUUUUUUAUUACAUAUUGUACACAAACUCGCCCAUAUCGAGAGAGUGGGACUGAAAU